CCAGACUCCUACGGGAGGCAGCAGUGGGGGAUAUUGCACAAUGGGGGGAACCCUGAUGCAGCGACGCCGCGUGAGUGAAGAAGUAUCUCGGUAUGUAAAGCUCUAUCAGCAGGGAAGAAAGAAAUGACAGUACCUGACUAAGAAGCCCCGGCUAACUACGUGCCAGCAGCCGCGGUAAUACGUAGGGGGCAAGCGUUAUCCGGAAUUACUGGGUGUAAAGGGAGCGUAGACGGUGAAGUAAGUCUGGAGUGAAAGGCGGGGGCCCAACCCCCGGACUGCUCUGGAAACUAUUUGACUGGAGUGCAGGAGAGGUAAGCGGAAUUCCUAGUGUAGCGGUGAAAUGCGUAGAUAUUAGGAGGAACACCAGUGGCGAAGGCGGCUUACUGGACUGUAACUGACGUUGAGGCUCGAAAGCGUGGGGAGCAAACAGGAUUAGAUCCCCCAGUA
rnacentral:rRNA from 1 species